rnacentral:rRNA from 1 species
GAUGAACGCUGGCGGCGUGCUUAACACAUGCAAGUCGAACGAAGCACUUAAUGAGAUUUCUUCGGAUUGAUUAUUUUGUGACUGAGUGGCGGACGGGUGAGUAACGCGUGGGUAACCUGCCCCAGACCGGGGAUAACAGUCGGAAACGACUGCUAAUACCGCAUAAGCGCACAGUGCCGCAUGGCACAGUGUGAAAAACUCCGGUGGUCUGGGAUGGACCCGCGUCCGAUUAGUUAGUUGGCGGGGUAACGGCCCACCAAGACCGCGAUCGGUAGCCGACCUGAGAGGGUGACCGGCCACAUUGGGACUGAGACACGGCCCAGACUCCUACGGGAGGCAGCAGUGGGGAAUAUUGCACAAUGGGGGGAACCCUGAUGCAGCGACGCCGCGUGGAGGAAGAAGGUCUUCGGGAUUGUAAACUCCUGUUGUUGGGGAAGAUAAUGACGGUACCCAACAAGGAAGUGACGGCUAACUACGUG